rnacentral:rRNA from 1 species
UGAACGCUAGCGGCAGGCUUAAUACAUGCAAGUCGAGGGGCAGCGGGAGUAGCAAUACUUGCCGGCGACCGGCGCACGGGUGCGUAACACGUAUGCAAUCUACCUCUGACUGGGGAAUAGCCUUCCGAAAGGAAGAUUAAUACCGCAUAAUAUCACGAGACGGCAUCGCCUUGUGAUCAAAGCUUCGGCGGUCAGAGAUGAGCAUGCGUCCGAUUAGCUAGUUGGCGGGGUAACGGCCCACCAAGGCGACGAUCGGUAGGGGGUCUGAGAGGAUGAUCCCCCCACACUGGUACUGAGACACGGACCAGACUCCUACGGGAGGCAGCAGUAAGGAAUAUUGGACAAUGGCCGAAAGGCUGAUCCAGCCAUGCCGCGUGCAGGAUGAAGGUGCUCUGCAUUGUAAACUGCUUUUGUUCGGGAAUAAACCCCUCUACGUGUAGAGGGCUGAAUGUACCGAAAGAAUAAGGGACGGCUAACUUCG